rnacentral:rRNA from 1 species
GGACUACAGGGGUAUCUAAUCCUGUUUGAUCCCCACGCUUUCGCGCCUCAGCGUCAGUUGUCGUCCAGAUAGCCGCCUUCGCCACCGGUGUUCCUCCUAAUAUCUACGUAUUUCACCACUACAUUAGGAAUUCCGCUAUCCCCUCCGACACUCCAGCUUUACAGUUUCAAAGGCAGUUCUUGGGUUGAGCCCAAGGAUUUCACCCCUGACUUGAAAAGCCGCCUACGCGCGCUUUACGCCCAGUGAUUCCGAACAACGCUAGCACCCUUCGUAUUACCGCGGCUGCUGGCAC